rnacentral:rRNA from 1 species
UACGUAGGGGGCAAGCGUUGUCCGGAAUCAUUGGGCGUAAAGCGCGUGUAGGCGGCUCGGUAAGUCUGCUGUGAAAGUCCAAGGCUCAACCUUGGGAUGCCGGUGGAUACUGUCGAGCUCGAGUCCGGAAGAGGAGUGUGGAAUUCCUGGUGUAGCGGUGAAAUGCGCAGAUAUCAGGAGGAACACCAAUGGCGAAGGCAGCACUCUGGGACGUGACUGACGCUGAGACGCGAAAGCGUGGGGAGCAAACAGG